AACGAACGCUGGCGGCAGGCCUAACACAUGCAAGUCGAGCGAGGACUUCGGUUCUAGCGGCGGACGGGUGAGUAACGCGUGGGAAUGUUCCCUUCUCUACGGAAUAGCCCUGGGAAACUGGGAGUAAUACCGUAUACGCCCUAUUGGGGAAAGAUUUAUCGGAGAAGGAUCAGCCCGCGUUGGAUUAGGUAGUUGGUGGGGUAAUGGCCUACCAAGCCGACGAUCCAUAGCUGGUUUGAGAGGAUGAUCAGCCACACUGGGACUGAGACACGGCCCAGACUCCUACGGGAGGCAGCAGUGGGGAAUCUUAGACAAUGGGGGCAACCCUGAUCUAGCCAUGCCGGGUGAGUGAUGAAGGCCUUAGGGUUGUAAAGCUCUUUCAGCUGGGAAGAUAAUGACGGUACCAGCAGAAGAAGCCCCGGCUAACUCCGUG
rnacentral:rRNA from 1 species